GACGAACGCUGGCGGCGUGCUUAACACAUGCAAGUCGAACGGAAAGGCCCCUUUGGGGGUACUCGAGUGGCGAACGGGUGAGUAACACGUGAGUAACCUGCCCUUGACUUCGGGAUAACUUCAGGAAACUGGGGCUAAUACCGGAUAGGAAUCCUUGCUGCAUGGUGGGGGUUGGAAAGCUUCGGCGGUUUUGGAUGGACUCGCGGCUUAUCAGCUUGUUGGUGGGGUAGUGGCUUACCAAGGCUUUGACGGGUAGCCGGCCUGAGAGGGCGACCGGCCACCUUGGGACUGGGAUACGGCCCAGGCUCCUACGGGAGGCAGCAGUGGGGAAUAUUGCACAAUGGGCGGAAGCCUGAUGCAGCAACGCCGCGUGCGGGAUGACGGCCUUCGGGUUGUAAACCGCUUUCAGCAGGGGCGAAGCUUGUGGUGACGGUACCUGCAGAAGAAGCACCGGCUAACUACGUG
rnacentral:rRNA from 1 species